rnacentral:rRNA from 1 species
AUGGAAGCACAUGCGCCUCGCUCAGCAUCGACGACUUGGAAGGCGAUCAUAGCAGGUCGAAAGGCGCUGGAAUGUGGCUUGAUCAAAUGUGUUGGGAACGACGAAUCUAUAUCCACUUGGACGGAUGGGUGGAUCCCGAACACAAGCACUCGCAAGCCAACUGGUCGGAUUGGGGUCGAUCCUAUACCUCGGGUCUCAGAGCUGUUCGAUCAUGAGACGGGGUCGUGGGAUGUUGAACUAGUCCGACGGAACUUUCUACCAUCAGAUGCUGCGGCUAUACUGAACAUACCAUUAAGAGCAUCCGAAGGGGAGGAUUUUUUUGCCUGGGAUUUGGAGAGGUCUGGUGUUUAUUCUGUUAAGUCGGCUUAUCGUGCUCUAGUGACUCGUAACGAGCAUUCUGCUCCAGAGGAAGGAACGAUAACGGAUCCAUCAUCGUCAGAUAAACAUAUGUGGACCGCCCUGUGGAAGCUCAAGGUUAUUCCCAGAGUAAGAGUUUUC